CCUACGGGAGGCAGCAGUGAGGAAUAUUGCACAAUGGGCGCAAGCCUGAUGCAGCGACGCCGCGUGGGUGAUGAAGGCUUUCGGGUCGUAAAGCCCUUUUCUAGAUGACGAGCAAGGACGGUAGUCUAGGAAUAAGUGUCGGCUAACUACGUGCCAGCAGCCGCGGUAAAACGUAGGACACAAGCGUUAUCCGGAGUUACUGGGCGUAAAGGGCGUGUAGGCGGACCUAUAAGUCUAUUCUGAAAGCUCCUGGCUAAACUGGGAGAGGCGAAUGGAGACUGUAGAUCUAGAGUGAGGAAGAGGAAAGUGGAAUUCCGCGUGUAGUGGUGAAAUGCGUAGAGAUGCGGAGGAACACCAGUGGCGAAAGCGACUUUCUGGUUCUCAACUGACGCUGAGGCGCGAAAGCAUGGGGAGCGAACGGGAUUAGAAACCCCGGUAGUCCAUGCCAUAAACGAUGUUCACUAAACGUUCGUUUCCCGCGAGGGAAGUGGGUGUUGAAGCUAACGCAGUAAGUGAACCGCCUGGGGAGUACGGUCGCAAGGCUAAAACUCAAAGGAAUUGACGGGGGACCGCACAAGCAGCGGAGCGUGUGGUUUAAUUCGAGGCUACACGAAGAACCUUACCUAGGUUUGACAUCGCAUCGAAUACGCCAUGAAAGUGGUGUAGUCCCGCAAGGGACGGUGUGACAGGUGCUGCAUGGCUGUCGUCAGCUCGUGCCGUGAGGUGUUCGGUUAAGUCCGCAAACGAGCGCAACCCUCGGUGCCAGUUACAAGUGUCUGGCGCGACUGCCCGUGGCAAACGGGAGGAAGGUGGGGAUGACGUCAAGUCAGCAUGGCCUUUAUAUCUAGGGCUACACACACGCUACAAUGGCGCGUACAGUGGGUCGCGAACCCGCGAGGGGGAGCUAAUCCUAAAAGCCCGUCUCAGUUCAGAUCGUACGCUGCAUCCGCCUGCGUGAAGUUGGAGUUGCUAGUAACCGCGCGUCACCAGACGCGUUGAUACCUUCCCGGGAA
rnacentral:rRNA from 1 species